rnacentral:rRNA from 1 species
AUUGAACGCUGGCGGCAGGCCUUACACAUGCAAGUCGAGCGGAUGAAGGGAGCUUGCUUUUUGAUUCAGCGGCGGACGGGUGAGUAAUGCCUAUGAAUCUUCCUGGUAGUGGGGGAUAACGUCCGCAAACGGUCGCUAAUACCGCAUACUUCCUUCGGGAUAACGUGGGGGGUCUUCGGACCUCACGCUUUCGGCUUCGCCUAGGUCUGAUUAGCUAGUUGGUGGGGUAAAGGCCUACCAAGGCGACGAUCAGUAACUGGGCUGAGAGGAUGAUCAGUCACAUUGGAACUGAGAGACGGCCCAAACUCCUACGGGAGGCAGCAGUGGAGAAUAUUGGGCAAUGGGCGAAAGUCUGACGGAGCGAUGCCGCGUGUGUGAAGAAGGUCGAAGGAUUGUAAAGCACUUUAAGUGGGGAGGAAGGGGAGUAAGAGAAAAUGUUGAUGUGUUGACGGUAACAAACGAAUAAGCACCGGCUAACUACGUG